rnacentral:rRNA from 1 species
GGAGGGUGCAAGCGUUAUCCGGAUUUAUUGGGUUUAAAGGGUCCGUAGGCGGAUCAUUAAGUCAGUGGUGAAAGCCGACAGCUCAACUGUCGAACUGCCAUUGAUACUGGUGAUCUUGAGUACGGUUGAAGUAGGCGGAAUAUGACAUGUAGCGGUGAAAUGCUUAGAUAUGUCAUAGAACACCGAUUGCGAAGGCAGCCUACUAAGCCGUUACUGACGCUGAGGGACGAAAGUGUGGGGAGCGAACAGGAUUAGAUACCCUGGUAGUCCACACCGUAAACGAUGAUUACUCGGUAUUGGCUUUAUUGUCAGUGCCCAAGCGAAAGUGAUAAGUAAUCCACCUGGGGAGUACGGCCGCAAGGUUGAAACUCAAAGGAAUUGACGGGGGCCCGCACAAGCGGUGGAGCAUGUGGUUUAAUUCGAUGAUACGCGAGGAACCUUACCAGGGCUUAAAUGUAGAACGACCGGGGUGGAAACACCCCCUUUUUCGAACGGUCUACAAGGUGCUGCAUGGUUGUCGUCAGCUCGUGCUGUGAAGUGUCGGGUUAAGUCCCAUAACGAGCGCAACCCCUAUUUCUAGUUGCCAGCGGUUCGGCCGGGGACUCUAGAGAAACUGCCAGCGUAAGCUGUGAGGAAGGU